rnacentral:rRNA from 1 species
UACAGAGGGGGCAAGCGUUGUUCGGAAUUACUGGGCGUAAAGGGCGCGUAGGCGGCCUGCUAAGUCGAACGUGAAAUCCCCGAGCUCAACUCGGGAACUGCGUCCGAUACUGGCAGGCUUGAAUCCGGGAGAGGGAUGCGGAAUUCCAGGUGUAGCGGUGAAAUGCGUAGAUAUCGGGAGGAACACCAGAGGCGAAGGCGGGUUACUGGGCUGAUACUGACGCUGAGGCGCGAAAGCCAGGGGAGCGAACGGG